rnacentral:rRNA from 1 species
CGAAACGGCAGGAGGGCAAACCGAAGUGUUUACACUUCGGGGUUGUAGGACUGCGACGUGGGACUUUAAAAGGAUAGAAGAAUUACCUGGGAAGGUAAGCCAAAGAGAGUAAAAGCCUCGUAUUUAAAAUUCUUUUGAGCCCUAGCAGUAUCCUGAGUACGGCGAGACACGUGAAAUCUCGUUGGAAUCUGGGAGGACCAUCUCCCAACCCUAAAUACUCUCUAGUGACCGAUA